GACGAACGCUGGCGGCGUGCCUAAUACAUGCGAGUAGAACGCUGAAGGAGGAGCUUGCUUCUCUGGAUGAGUUGCGAACGGGUGAGUAACGCGUAGGUAACCUGCCUGGUAGCGGGGGAUAACUAUUAGAAACGAUAGCUAAUACCGCAUAAGAGUAGAUGUUGCAUGACAUUUGCUUAAAAGGUGCAAUUGCAUCACUACCAGAUGGACCUGCGUUGUAUUAGCUAGUUGGUGAGGUAACGGCUCACCAAGGCGACGAUACAUAGCCGACCUGAGAGGGUGAUCGGCCACACUGGGACUGAGACACGGCCCAGACUCCUACGGGAGGCAGCAGUAGGGAAUCUUCGGCAAUGGACGGAAGUCUGACCGAGCAACGCCGCGUGAGUGAAGAAGGUUUUCGGAUCGUAAAGCUCUGUUGUAAGAGAAGAACGAGUGUGAGAGUGGAAAGUUCACACUGUGACGGUAUCUUACCAGAAAGGGACGGCUAACUACGUG
rnacentral:rRNA from 1 species